GCGUUUUUAGUUAUAUAUAUUUUAAAUCAAGUCUGUGAUCUUCUUUAAAUAGUUUCGAGCAGCAGAUAAACAUGGAAUCUAACGGAUGAUCAGCUUCUCAACUGAAGGGAUCUACCUCUACCUGCGACAUUGCCUUCCAUACUUAUUCAGAAUCAAUGGUGUGUCUGGAGCUUCACACUCAUCCAGCAGAAGCAUGUGGACUGUAAUGAUGCUCAUCUGCUGAUGGACAGGCAAAAGCGAAACGACUGCUGGUCAUGAUUCUGGAGGUCAGCGGAGACGCCAUGAUUCCCCACACCUUCUCACUCACUGUUCAACUGUUAUGUUCCCUGUUGUUACACACAAAAACAACUGUUCAAGUUACAGGUCCAGCAUGCUGAGUUGGGUCUUGAAUCACCUGGACUCCAACAAAACCUCAUCUUCAUUAACCCAGCAGAGCCACCAUGGCUUUCACAAUGAGUGUGUUGGAGACACUUUGAUGGAUGCUGAUGAUGGAGCUCAUGAGUUAUUAUAGUGUUUCAUUUUUAAAUUGGUUUCAUUUAACAAUCAUAUUUUUACAUUUAAUUCAUAUUUCAGUUUAGUUUUUGAAAGUUUCAUGAAUGGUUUGGUUAGUUUUAGUUCAGUUUUUAUUGUGUGAACACAUUUCUAUUUAGUUUCCAUAUAUUUAGUUUGAGUAAUUCUAGUUUUACAGAGUUAACAGAACACGACAGCAAUGUUGGCACAGCUUACAUUAUCUUGUGUGCAAACCUUAACUUGUGUGUUAAACUUAUUCAUAUUAAUAAGUUUAUAUGCAGCUAAACAUGCCAAGUUUAUAUUAUAUUUGGUGGAUGAAGAAAACACGGAGCAGAUGUUUUAUGUUUUUUGUACAUUAACAUGUGCUUGAAAUGUGCAUCACAGAUUUUGUCCAACAGCCGCAGGUCAGAUUUUCUGUCAUAAAUGAGUGCUUAUUAAAUCUGAAAAUUAUCAUUUAUUUUGGCUAAUUAUUUAGUCUCUGUUGAUUUUCAGUGACUCUUGUUAG